CUGCUGCCUCCCGUAGGAGUCUGGUCCGUGUCUCAGUACCAGUGUGGUGGACCUUCCUCUCAGAACCCCUACGCAUCGUCGCCUUGGUGGGCCGUUACCCCGCCAACAAGCUAAUGCGACGCAUGACCAUCCGUAGCCGGAAUCGCUUCCUUUAAACCCACAGAGAUGCCUCCAUGGGUUGUUACGCGGUAUUAGACGGAAUUUCUUCCGCUUAUCCCUCGCUCGGCGNGUUCGUNUACGUGUUACGUUACCUACCCGU
rnacentral:rRNA from 1 species